CUGGUAACUCGUGCCUCAUAAAAUCACUUGAUGUGGGUGAGAGAGAAAGCUAAGUGUUGAUGACAGUGUGGGCCUGACCGUGCCUGAGUAAGCCCCAUGGGAACACAGCCGUGGUGGGAAGCAGCUUCCCAGCAGCCCUCCCCGCCAUCGGGAGAAUCCCCUGAGGCCAUGAGAGGGUCUCAGGGAGGUGGACGGCCCAUCAAGUGAGAACCGAGGGCACUGUGCACUCCUGAAUCCUAGGACUCCUCUUAGGUCAUUGACUAACAACAUCAACAAUGAAAUGAAUCUGAGAAAACAGGAAAUUGAGAGCAAGAGAAAAAAAAGUUAAUUAUACUGAUUUUGUAUAAGACCCCUUUGAACACAUUUUUAAAAAAUCAAAUAGAAGGUGCCCAGGUCCACUGUGCCUUGUGAAUAUUUGUCUUGUAUAUCCUAGAGAUCUACGCAUUCAUGUGGGAAUUGAAAAGGACCCACAUUUUACUAGAAGCAUCGUUCAUUUUUGCCUCAAAACAAUGCCCACAUGUCAGAAGAACUUUCACAAUUCACAGGAACAGUGACCUAAUUAACCAACCAUAAAAUUGCCAAAUCCCUACUUCUCAUUGUUUAAUAUGCUUAGAAAACCCAUUCAAAUUGUGAAUUAUCAAGUGAGCUUACACUGAUAAAUAGAUCCAAUAUUUAGGAAUUUUUAAAUCUUCCAUUCCUUUUUUUUUUUUGUCUUUUUAAAAAUAGAACAUUAGAAUAUGUCCUCCAGGUUUUAGAGAUGGGGGAGACAUGCUUCCCUUUAUUUCUCAGUAACUCAGCCAAAAAAAAUCUGGAGAGAAUGCAAAGACAGCUACUGGAAACUUUGAAAAGUAGAUGUGAGCCCAUCAGGGAAGAGCUAGAGAAUCUGAAAUCUACUCGAAAAAGUGAGUUUGAUACUUUGUGUUCCUAUCCUAACUCCACACAGCCUGAAACUUGGAAGUGAGCAUGAUGGAGUGGAUACAGUGAGAUGCAGAAGAAAUCCUCCAGUUUGGGCUGGAAGGGAAAAAAGAGACCCCUAAAACUCAGAGACAGUGGAAGAAAUUCCUGGUGUUUUUUUCUUCUCUUUUUCUCUGUUCUUCCACAUAGCAAUUUAGUAUUGACUACAGCAUCUCUGUUACAAUGAUAGCACCGAAAUGUUGUAACCAUAUGGCCUGCAAAGCCAAAAAUACUUAUCUGACCAUCUACAGGAAAAGUUUGCUGAUCUGGAUGAAAUAUUCUGAUACUAAAUAUUCCAUUUUGAGGCUGAUAUUCCUAAUCUAUUCAUAAGGAUGGCAUAUCUACCCAGUGGGCCUGCUGGGACUCCAGUUACCCGAUGCACAUACAUUGCUUGGUGUGAAUGUACAAAGAGACCAAGAAAACCUCAGUCAAACUUGGAAAUUUCCUUUGUAAUAUUCUUUUUAAAGUUAGUUAUGUGGCAGUUUCGUGUGCAUUUUUGGUGAUGAUGCUCCACGGAACAUCUGCAGAUGUGCUGUCAAUUUGGACAGCUCUGACUACCGAGUGAAUGGGAAGUACUAACGAGAACUGUCUGCUUGGGAACUCCAUGAAGUUCGUGGCUUUUGUGAUUGAAAUAGCAUCAAUAAAAGGUUGACACUGUGGAACAACACAAGCCUGCAUGGACCUGGUUAUCUCUGACCUCGCACCACUCAUGAGACCAUACCUGAGCCCUACUCCACUUUGGCAGAACUGUUGCAUGGCCUCUCUUCAUAUAAUACCUCUCCGUACACCGUACACCGCAGCUCAAAGAAAGGAUAUAUGCUCCCUGUGAAGACUAAUGGAACUGUCCCUCCUGAUCCUCCUACAGACUUCCUCUGGCCUAAUGGGUGCACCAUUGCAUUAUAUCUGCCAUCUAUACACACAUAUACCUUUCAACCCUGCACUCUCUGAGAUGACUGGACUCAUGCCUAAAUAACUGAUGCUGUCCCUAGUGUAAGGAAGCUGCCUGACGAGGAGCUGUACGGAAAUAAGAGUAAUUCAGUGAUGGGGUCCAAGCAUCCUGAAUAUAAGCGGUCCAUGUCAAGAAAGAGCCAAAGGGCGUCCUCAGGACAUGGAAGAGGGGCAUUCCAGGCUGGCAGCUGGGGAGGCCCAGAGAGCCCUGGAGAAGAUCUGAAGUCCAUUGCAGAGCUUUCUUUAAGACUACUGAAUUGUACAGAAGAAGCAGAAAUGAAAAAAAAAUUAAAAAUAUAGAAAUGAUGUAUUUUAAUGAGAUUUAAACAUCUAGGGGAGAGUUUGGGGUGGGAAUGCUGAUAAGUUCAUAGAAAAGUAAGCAAAUGAAAACAAGACAAAAAUAAUAAAAGCAAAAAGGAAAAGUAAUUGCACUGUGCUAGUAGAUUCAGCUCUGAAUAAUAUUUCAUAAUAGUAAUAUGUAAACAGUAAAUACUGAUUUAAACUAAAAUGUUAUAAUUAUACUGAGAGUAUUGAAGAUGAGGAAAUACUGUGUGUGUGUGUGUGUGUGUGUGUGUGUGUGUGUGUGUGUGUGUGUGUGGUGUAUUGAAAGCAACAGGAACAAGAGAUAAAAUCUCUUCUCAUAAUGUCAAAAACUGAAAAAAUGAAGAAGUGGCAAUAUGAUUAUCUAUCUAGAAAUAUAAAAAUAGAAACCAAAACAAACACUUCAAAAUGUCAAAGGCUCUGUUGAAGAGGAUUUGGGAAGGUGUUGGAGAGUACUUUUUCAAUAAUAAACUUUGAAAAAUUGAUUCUUUUAAAGUAUUGAGAUGCAUUACAUGAAGGAAGGUGAAAACUAAAAUAGAAAGACUUCUAAUGCCUUGCAGUGUUCCUUAGAUAAUGCUCCUGAGUGAGGUCCCAUCACUCUGCAAUUGCAC
rnacentral:lncRNA from 1 species